CCGCCUCAGUGCCUGCAGUUCCUCUCUGCGGCCAGCCUGAGCGCGUGCGCCGUGUUCCGUCCUCACUCCGGGAGCUGCGCUGCUGCACGAGACCGCUCACUGCAGAACGGCUCGUGACUCUGAACGGAACGGCGUUUAAAAACUCCAACGGCCGGAAGAUAAAGGCGCCAACGGCCGGGCAGGAGACGGAGCGCCGGCCGUCAGUUACCCGGCAGCUGGUGGAGACGCCGUGUUGGAGAGUCUGUGCCCUCGUCUCCUGUUCCACCUCGAUCCCGUCUCCGUCUCUGUGAUGCCGGGCUGUGGGUGAGUCUGAGCCCGAACCAGACCGAAGCUGGGGAAGCUAAAGGUGGUGCGGCGGCAGCUGCUGCAAAGGUAUGAACACCAGCCGUUUGUGUCCUGCCUGGCUGGACUCUAUGGCUGCCAGUGGAGGAGAUACCAAAGAGCGCGGGCGCAGCCCGGAGAGUGCUGCUGCAGCAAG